GAAAUAGAUGGUCCUUACCCCUCUCUGCUUUUAGGGGAUUCCUGUGUCUGUAUGUGUUUGUGUGUAUGCAUGUGCAUGCGGAUGUGCAUGUGUGGGGAAGAAGAGAUGAGCUCUAGCAGGUGUGUAUGUAAUGGUAGGUGUGUGGGUACAUGGACAGCUGUGUUUUUAAGUCUACAGAGUCCUGACCAGAACUGACAAAAGUAUAGAAAGGAGAGGAUGAUUGGUGUGGAAGGCUAAAAAGGAGAAAGAAGAGACUGAAGCCUCGUUCUUGCUAUUCUCAGUCUUCUUUUUGAAGGAGUAGUCAUUCUUAUCCAGUGAGGGCUUUUUGAAGUUCCCCUUUAACUGGCUGCUCUGCAUCCUGAUUGAGGUUCAGCACGUCUAUAUCCAAAGGAAAGCAUAUCACGGCUAAAAGGGUCCAGAAAGAACAAAUAUUAUUUGAUGAACUCCUGUCUAACACUGCCAUAGAGAAGUUUAAGAGCACUCGUGGAGAUUUUCAGCACAAAGGGAAUGGAGCAGCUCAGUACCUCAGUACUGCCCACGUAUCAGCAGGAGGAACAGAUAGAGCACUGGAGAAGCAUUCUUCCUGUUCAGAAAGUCCUGAUAUUGUCCAUACUCACAAAAAAACAAACUGGUGCCUACUAAAGGAUAUCACUGAAUGGAGUCUCAUGAGCUUCAGCUGGACUUUGAAAGGAUGAAAAGAGCAUGCCAGUACAGGCGAAUGCAAUACCGUGCAGCUAUACUGAAGCAUGAUUAUUGGAAGCAGUAGAAUGUAUAAGGCCUAUUAGCCUUGCUGAGUGAAAUGGGGUAAUAUAACUAUUCUGUUUCCAGCACCUGAGCUAGCUGGCAUAGUAUAGCAUUGUGCUUUGUACACAAAU
rnacentral:lncRNA from 1 species